UCGCAAGAGAGCGACACAGGUGCUGCAUGGCUGUCGUCAGCUCGUGUCGUGAGAUGUUGGGUUAAGUCCCGCAACGAGCGCAACCCUUGUCAUUAGUUGCCAUCAUUUGGUUGGGCACUCUAAUGAGACUGCCGGUGACAAACCGGAGGAAGGUGGGGAUGACGUCAAGUCCUCAUGGCCCUUAUGGGUAGGGCUUCACACGUCAUACAAUGGUCGGUACAGAGGGUUGCCAACCCGCGAGGGGGAGCUAAUCCCACAAAGCCGAUCGUAGUCCGGAUCGCAGUCUGCAACUCGACUGCGUGAAGUCGGAAUCGCUAGUAAUCGUGGAUCAGCAUGUCACGGUGAAUACGUUCCCGGGUCUU
rnacentral:rRNA from 1 species